rnacentral:misc_RNA from 1 species
UCUUCACUUUCUUUGGUUUUGAAAGCAAUUCUUCGUAAGGCACAGCAAAAUCCGUCUCUACAAGACCACAAAAAAUCGUCGAGUAGUCCAGCGUCGGGUCCCGUGCUUCCACCGAAGUCUUUCUGUCCUUAAGCUCCGGGAAAUCGAGAAUAGGAAUCGAACAACCACCAGAACCACCAAAUAUUUCUUUGUAAUCCUCCAUUCGAGACCCAG